GCCGUCGUAGCUCAGUGGUAGAGCAACCGCCUUGUAAGCGGUAGGUCGUUGGUUCAAAUCCAUCCUGCGGCA
rnacentral:tRNA from 2 species